rnacentral:sRNA from 1 species
AGAAUAUUUUUGGCGGCAGUAGUAAAAGGUGGUAAAAUUCAUAGGAAUAAAAGAUGUUUCUUGUAAUCCUCUUUGGAACCAUACUUUUCUUCUGCGUGAAUGGUAUUCAAUUGCAAUGUUCUACAGAAAGAAAAUGCACGUGCAUAUACCGCAGCACUUUCAUCUUUGCCAAUUGCAGCGGACAACGUUUGACAAAAACUCCGAAUUUUACAAAUGACGUCACACAAAUCGAUUUUGGAUGGAACAAGAUUAAAGAUUUUCCCAUGCAUUUGCCUGAAAAUUUGACACAUCUAAUUUUAACUGGAAAUAUCCGUUUGCAAAAAAUCGAAGCAAGUGCGCUUCAAAGAUAUCAAAAGCUUCGGCACGUCGUCAUAUCGUAUUGUAAUCUUCAAUAUAUUGAAUCGGGAGCAUUUUCAAACAAAAGUGAACUAGAACAUCUAGAUAUCUCAAAUAACCCGGAACUUACCCUAUCCCGUUCUUAUAAAUGUGACGUAUGACAUACAAAAUUCUAAUAUCAGAACUCUACUUCUUGACAGACUACACUGUUUAUAUGGCAUAACCAAUGUUUUUCGAACCGAGUAUAUCAUCUAUCUUUCAAACACCUCUUUAGAAACAGUAUCCAUUGCCUCCAAUAGAAUAUCCUUUUUUCAACCUACAGUGCUGUUGAUGUUGCCCAAAACGUUUGCAAGCAUUAAAUAUUGGAGACAACAAUUUGAGCUUCGGAAAAUACCUUUUUCUUUUGAGUAGUCUUAGGAUGUUGAAAAUACUCAAUGUUACAUUUGAAAACAAGUUUCAUUCUCAAAGAAACAUAGCUUAUUAUUGCAAAGAUACGAGAAAUACUUAUUUUUCUCCUGUGGCUGUCUCAAGUACGAACCGUUUACAUACCCAUGUUUCAGUAAUGGAAACAAGAUUAAAUAAACAAACUGCAGCUAUUGGCGACCAAAAUACAUCUUUAAGGGAGUCUAUAACCAUUUACCUACCCCCAAACUUGGAAAAACUCUACUUUCAUGAUAACAUGUAUAAAAUGGAAAUUAAUUCGUACCAUUUUAACACUACGAACCGAAAACUGACACAUUUAUUUUUUCAGAACAAUAUUUUCUACUCAUUACAAGGGCGAGUGCGCGGUUUCCAAAGCGCCCGUUAUCUGGAUUUUUCAAAUAAUCUUUGUGUUGAAAUAUCACACAAAUUUUUCGACGAUUUCGAUGGACUUCUUCAUCUGAAUCUUUCACGAAAUGUGCUAGGAAACUGUAUUGAAAGUGAUGUAAACGGAGAAAUAUUUCGAGGGCUUGGUAGCAUGGAGGUGCUUGAUUUGUCCAAAAACCAAAUAAGAAAUCUUCCACGCCUAAUGUUUCAACAUAUGAUUAAUUUAUCCAGACUUUUUCUCCAUUACAAUUCUUUGAAAACAUUUGAUAUUGUUAUAUCACAUAUGCGAAAACUUUCAUUGAUUGAUUUAUCAAAUAAUCAAAUAACAUCUUUAGAUCCUCCAAUUUUUGCAUCAGUAGAAAGUUUGAUUCGGGGUUACGGACAGCUCAAAAUAAAUUUACUUCAAAAUCCACUUCAAUGCGGAUGUCUUGACUUGGACUUUCUACAACGGGUUUUACGUUACAAAGAUCACUUUCUAUUCUUAUCAAAGUACAACUGUACUUCAGCAAACUCGACUUUGCUUCAUUUUCGAGACUUAAGUAACAUAGCUACAUAUCUGGAAACCUAUUGUGCAACAUAUCUAUCUCUGAUAGUUGCACUGUCAUUGAUAUUGUUGGUUUUCAUGAGUAUCACCAUUGGUUCAAUACUAAACCGUUAUAGAUGGAGAUUAAGGUACCUAUACUAUCUUGCAAAAAGACGAUAUACAGAAGUUCAGCAUAUGCAAAAUGCGAAUGAUGAUGUAACCUAUCGCUUCGAUGCAUUUAUUUCGUAUGCCGAAGAAGACAGAGAAUUUAUAUUGAACAAACUUAAUUUUCUUGAAAAAGAAAACGGCCUGAGAAUUUGCAUUCACUGCCGAGACUUCAUUCCUGGAACUGACAUUGCAGACAACAUAACCAACGCUAUUCACACCAGCAGACGGACGGUGUGUGUCUUGACGCCAUAUUUUGUUGAUUCGUAUUGGUGUAUGUAUGAACUUAAUAUGGCAAGAAUGGAAACCAUAUAUUCAAGAAAAGGACAAAACAUUUUGUGUUUGAUAAUAUUGGAGAAGGAUGUUUUUAGAAAAGUUCCAUUUAAAAUUCUAGAUUUAUUAGAAAAUCAAUCAUAUCUAGAGUAUCCCGACAAAAAUAAUGACAAUUUUGCAUUCUGGCAUAAGCUUUGUGAAACUUUAAAAUCAAUUCCACAGUAGUCAUUUAUAAAGUUCUUAGAAAUAUAUACAGAGACAAGAUGGCACAUAAACUAUUGUAUAUUU